rnacentral:misc_RNA from 1 species
GACGGAUGUGUGCAGGUAAUAAGAAUGGUCUUCUAGUGCCACACACCACCACGGACCAAGAGCUUCAACACUUGAAGAACACUCUACCUGACCAUGUGGCGGUUCAACGUGUCGAGGAAAGGCUGUCGGCUUUGGGCAAUUGCAUAGCUUGCAACGACCAUGUUGCCCUUACUCACACCGAUUUGGACAGGGACACUGAAGAGAUCAUUUCAGAUGUACUUGGAGUGGAAGUAUUUAGGCAGACUAUUGCAGGAAACAUUCUUGUGGGCAGUAAUUGUGCUUUCUCGAACAGAGGUGGCUUGGUCCAUCCGCAUACAUCUAUUGAAGACCUCGAAGAGCUAUCAACACUUCUCCAAGUCCCUCUAGUUGCUGGAACUGUGAAUAGAGGCAGCGAGGUCAUCGCUUCUGGUAUGGUCGUCAAUGACUGGACAGCAUUCUGCGGAUCUGACACAACAGCGACAGAGCUUUCAGUCAUAGAGAAC